rnacentral:rRNA from 1 species
AGUGAACGCUGGCGGUAGGCCUAACACAUGCAAGUCGAACGGCAGCACAGUAAGAGCUUGCUCUUACGGGUGGCGAGUGGCGGACGGGUGAGGAAUACAUCGGAAUCUACUUUUUCGUGGGGGAUAACGUAGGGAAACUUACGCUAAUACCGAAUACGACCUACGGGUGAAAGCAGGGGAUCUUCGGACCUUUCGCGAUUGAAUGAGCCGAUGUCGGAUUAGCUAGUUGGCGGGGUAAAGGCCCACCAAGGCGACGAUCCGUAGCUGGUCUGAGAGGAUGAUCGGCCACACUGGAACUGAGACACGGUCCAGACUCCUACGGGAGGCAGCAGUGGGGAAUAUUGGGCAAUGGGCGCAAGCCUGAUCCAGCCAUACCGCGUGGGUGAAGAAGGCCUUCGGGUUGUAAAGCCCUUUUGUUGGGAAAGAAAAGCAGCAGGUUAAUACCCCGCUGUUCUGACGGUACCCAAAGAAUAAGCACCGGCUAACUUCGUG